GACGAACGCUGGCGGCGUGCUUCAUACAUGCAAGUCGAGCGGGGUAUAUACAGUAGCUUGCUACAGUAUAUACCUAGCGGCGGACGGGUGAGUAACACGUGGGCAAUCUGCCCACCAGUUGGGAAUAACAUCGGGAAACUGAUGCUAAUACCGAAUACACCUAAGAGAUCGCAUGAACUUUUAGGGAAAGAGGGCCUCUGAUUCAAGCUCUUGCUGGUGGAUGAGCCCGCGGCCCAUUAGCUAGUUGGUGAGGUAAAGGCUCACCAAGGCGACGAUGGGUAGCCGGCCUGAGAGGGUGAACGGCCACACUGGGACUGAGACACGGCCCAGACUCCUACGGGAGGCAGUAGUAGGGAAUUUUGUACAAUGGGGGAAACCCUGAUACAGCGACGCCGCGUGAGCGAAGAAGGCCUUCGGGUUGUAAAGCUCUGUCAGUGGGGAAGAAGACCCUCGACCUAAUACGUCGAGGGGAUGACGGUACCCGUAAAGGAAGCCCCGGCUAACUACGUGCCAGCAGCCGCGGUAAUACGUAGGGGGCGAGCGUUGUCCGGAAUUAUUGGGCGUAAGGGGCGCGUAGGCGGCUUGAGAAGUCGCAGGUGAAAUCCCGCGGCUCAACCGUGGAACUGCCUGCGAAACCAUUGGGCUUGAGGACAGGAGAGGGAAGCGGAAUUCCUGGUGUAGCGGUGAAAUGCGUAGAUAUCAGGAGGAACACCAGUGGCGAAGGCGGCUUUCUGGCCUGGUCCUGACGCUUAGGCGCGAAAGCUAGGGGAGCAAACAGGAUUAGAUACCCUGGUAGUCCUAGCUGUAAACGAUGGGCACUAGGUGUUGGGGGGUUCAUACCCUUCAGUGCCGUAGGUAACCAAUAAGUGCCCCGCCUGGGA
rnacentral:rRNA from 1 species